UACGGGGGGGGCAAGCGUUGUCCGGAAUCAUUGGGCGUAAAGAGCGUGUAGGCGGCUCGAUAAGUCCGCUGUGAAAGUCCAGGGCUCAACCCUGGAAGGCCGGUGGAAACUGUCGGGCUAGAGUCCGGAAGAGGCGAGUGGAAUUCCCGGUGUAGCGGUGAAAUGCGCAGAUAUCGGGAGGAACACCAAUGGCGAAGGCAGCUCGCUGGGACGGUACUGACGCUGAGACGCGAAAGCGUGGGGAGCAAACAGG
rnacentral:rRNA from 1 species